AUAAUGAGGCUGAGCAAAAGAAAGAGCAGGCCCUUGUUUCCAAUGUAAUUAUUUUCGUGCUUGGACUUUUCGGCAUCACUUAAGCCCUCCGUUCCACCAUCUCCUGUUAAAAGCUGGUGGGUUUUGUUGUGUUUUUUAAUAUGGUCAUAACCCCUUUUUAUAUAGAAGGGAAAACGCUGGCUCCCCGUGGCUUGCAUGUAUUUUCAUAUUGGUGUAAUUCAAACAAGAUGAUGACUCAACUUGACGUCGUUUCCUGGCUGCAGCGGGGCUUGUGGUAAUCGAGAGUUGAACCUUUAUUGGGACGCCGAUGGAGCAGCAGCACACGCCGCAGAGAGCCCUAAUGAAGACCAACAGCGGACGGGGCCGGCAGGCUCAGCCCAGCCAGGACACUCCUUACCCCAGGGUGAAAGCCAUUCUGGCCCCAGACAAGGUGUGCUCAGACUCAGCCAGCAGGGAUUCACCAAAGAUAACAGCUCCAGCGAUGCCUGCGAACACACAUUCCUGCUUUGCUUUGCUUUUUUUCUGCUCUGCAGCACUGAGCAGGCUGAGGGGCUCAGAGCUUGGGGCCUCUCAUCUUGUUUGUAACCCCACAGAAGGAAUUGGGGUUUCUGGGAGAAGUUCCUUGCUUUUUCUAAACUCAUGUCUACACAGGUAAGAGGAAAUGGAUCCGAAUUUUCCCCUUUUCACUUUCUGAGUUGAGCAAACACACGCUAAGGCUUCUUCUGAAGUCCUACUGUCGUGAUAGCUUGGACACUGUCCCAGCUGCCCACCUCUGACAGACACACUGCCAUUCACUCCCUUUUGGCACAUCACCCCCAACAUGAGGUGCUUCGUGGUUGCAGAAUAGCACCCAAACCCACCUGGCUGCACCGAGCCAGCCUGCAGCACAGCAGGGCACGCUCCAGGGUUGAGGUGAGCACUCCAGAAGAAUGCGCAUCGCCACGAGGGAGAGUUUAACCCAGCUCCCUCGUCCUUUUUCUCCCCUUCAGAUGCCAGGUGGGAGGUUUGACCUUGGGCAGCAGAUCCAGGGACCAUCCCACGGUGCAGACACACAUGUGCACAUGCAGGGGAAGAUGAAGUGCUUUUGCCUGUGACCCCAAACGUAAUGGCAAGCCCCAGCCAGCCAGGGUAUUCCAAUACCCACUUAGCAUCUGUAAGCUGUCCUCUGGGUAGGAUUUCCAGGCACAUAGCAUCAUAUCUUUCACACUUUUCGAGCAGGGCUAUAAAUUAUGGCGAGAGUCCCUGUAACUCCAGCCCCAUCACUCCGUACUCCUGGCGCCUGCUGGGUUGUUGUUGCUGUUGUUACAGCUACAGCUCCAAAUGAGGAACGCGUGAUGUACGGCUGGGAAGGGACUCUUCUAACUGCUCAGUGAAGCGGUCACAAAUAGGAAGAAACUGCAGUUUCCUACAAUAUUUAGCAUUAUAUAGGCCCUCGGCAGUGCCACACUUUACUUCUUCAUUUCUAAGCAUCCCCCUUUGAGAGCUCUACCCCACUUCAUCAUCAUAAACAUGUCAACAAUCUGUCCCCGUGGAGGGCUCUGCUGUUUGUUCUUCGGCUCACAUGGAGAAAGCAUGUCCCUGCUCCAGCCCCCAGCACACAUUUCUCUAUGCUCAAAGGGGCCGGAGUUGGAACUUGGCCAUCUCGUGGCUCCCGGACCUUGGUAUUUAAGGGGAGGGGGGAAAAAAAAAAAAAAAAAGAAAAGAAGAAGAACAUGAACUUGAUAAAUAUGAUCAGCUGCCGGGAACGUGCCUGAAGCCUCCUGCUGCUGUUGUUGACAUCAGAAAGCUGCGGAGCCUGGGAGACGCAAGGAAGUUUUAUUGUCUUGCUCCUACCAGGAACGCACGACUGCCGUUCCAGCUGCCUGGUGCUCCCCGGCAUUUCUCUCCUGUCACCGGGAAAACAGGACAUCGGUUCUCACCUCCCGGACUGGAGCCUCAGAAGAACCUUUUUACAGAAAACGACGGCUCUGGUGUGAUGUUUUCCCAGGCUACUUCUUUGUGACGCCCCAAGCUGUCCCGGCAGCCACCUGACAGCUUCCUGCUCAGCAAGGGCAAACAGAAGGGAAAGGUGCACCCCAGGGUGCAGCUGCGUGCUUGUGGUUUUCUGGGGCAUCCCCAGCUGAAAGCUGCUUCGUGUUUUAGGAAGGAAGAGCAACCAAAAUGCCACCUGCUGCCUCCUUUGAGCUCAUGUUUCCCCUCCCUGAGCUUAACAAGGAAGGUCAGGCGUCCUCAAACUUCACUACCGCAGCAGCUUGGUGUAUCGGAAGACCAAGAGUGAACUUCCUUAAAAAUGAUGGAGAAGUUAGCAGACUCCAAGUUAACAGAUAUAACCAAGAAUAUCUGAAUAUUAAUUCAAGCUACUGAGCUGAACAGAGAUGAAGACUCCUUUGGGGAAAAGGGAAUCUGAAGUGGAUCGGGAUUUUAGCAGGGCCAUGGUGAAUAAUUUUGCACUGAAAAGUCAUGAAUGUACAUGAUGGAGACAGAAAUAUCAGAGAAGAUCCUACACAAACACCUUUUCAAUGCUUUUUAAUCUUUUAAUUUGCUUCCAGAGUGCAAUGCUCCCUCUAUCUUUCAGGUCCGUGGCACAAGGGAUAGUACAGGAGGGAAUUAUUUUCUUUCAUAUAGAGUUUAGGCCCCCUUAAAGGGGGUUGCUGGAUAGUUGUGAAGAGGUAAGCACUCUGCAGAUACCCAGAACAAACUUCCACAGUGCUCUGCUAAAAAAUAUGGUGCAAUGCUUGGCGGGAUGAAGCAUGGUGAAAGAGCUCUGUUUUCACGGCUCAUUUAGGCCAGAACUUUUCUUUAGGGACAGUCAGCAAGAGCACCGAUUUUGAUCACUUUCUACUGAUGUGGACAAAGUUAUUCUGGGAUUCGGGCUGAGACUGACUCAUUUUACAGGACUUUUAAGAGGUUUUCACUUCUGCCAUCAUGGGGUAAAUUCAAAGUGGUCACCUGGAGAAGACAGUUUCCAGAUCUGCCCCACUCGAAGCUCCUUUCUCAGAUGAACUUACAGCAGUGAUGCAUUUGGAAAAGAAAGACAUCUUUCCAGAAGUGUUUAACAGAAUUGUUUGUCAUUCAGCUGCAGCUGAAAGGGAAUGUCUCCUUACCUCAGGUUCCUGACCCUUUUGUAAAAAACAUUCAGAUCUCUCUUUCAAGCAAAAGAAUUUUUAAAAAAUCAUUUGUUCUAAAAGAAGUCCUUACAUUUGGCAGAAACAGACACUGUUUGCUCUUUUUUUUUACUGACCUGCAUGUGCCACAGAGCCCUCUUGUACAACGUUCCCUUGCCCAAGCAGCCCUGGUGCAACAACGUCAGGGGCACUCAGGUGUGAAGGUGCUGAGAGGCCUUUAAGUGCCUUGAUCAAGAGACUAAAAGAAAAUGCAAAAUGGAACUUUCCUCAGCAACUCAGGGAUUUCUCUCCCCAAAUCACUAGAAAGCCUUUUGUAAGAACUCCUCCUCCCUCUCCAUAGUUAUCCUGCAGACAGAUUUAAAUAGCACCCUGCUCUGCAGGAGAGCUGUAAGGGGCCCUAGAGCCACCCAGCUGAGAUAAAAGGCCACAGCUGAGUGUUUCUGUAAAGACAACAGUUGCACCAUGAGUGACAGAUACUUCGUUAUGUCAGCACACCCCACCACAAAGGAAAUACAAGACCUCUUUAGGCACCCAUUUCAGAGCAUUACCCGCCCUGUGCAUGCUCUAAUCCCCGUCCCUCAGCUCCUUGGCUGCCCGGCUCCCCAUAAAUGAUCCCCAGCAGCACAAACACCAGUGCCUGGUGCCCUGAACACAGGAGGCUGCUGGCAGGCACCUGCCAUUUCAUGUAUUCCAUGUGCAAAAACCUGCACAGACAGUUUUGUGACUUCACCUCUAUGUAGUCCCCUGGAUUUGCCACCAUGGUUCCUGGAUUGGCCUUUCCUAUCACUAUGAGGAUGAAGGACAAUAAACUUUCAUAACCAUUUUUAUUUUUCCGUAUGAAAAUUGAUCGCCACCUGCUUCAUUUCCAAGUUAAAACACGACUAAUUCACUCCCAGGCAGUUCCUUUCUCACCCCUCCCUUGGCAUCAGCUCAUUGCACUUAGAUCAACCAAGACAGACACAUUAUUUUUUCCCUAAGUAAAUCUAAUUUCUUCCCCAUGCUAGCCAUGAUUCCUGGCAAAGAUGCUUAAGAGAGAAGCUUGGAGGAAAUGAGUGAUAUUUUGGUUCUAAAGAAACAAAUGCCAAAAGUCAAUUUUGAAAGGAUAAUACAACGUCAACUGACUCAUAUGUUUGUUGAGAUGCUGGGACAGUAGAGCCCUGGUGAAAGGAAGAAGCUGGGUUUUUAAACCACUUAAACUGUUGAUCUCCUGCAUUGUUUGGACUUUUGCAAUCAGAUCUGUAUUUCAGUUAAUAAAAAUAAGGCAGUUACUCAAUUUUUUUUUUAUACUCAGGGCAGCUAGCAGACCAGCUCUCAGACACCAGCCAACUGCCUCUAGUAAAGCCCAGUUAAACACAAUCACAUGCAGCCCCUCUCCUCCGUCUGACAAGGCAGCAUUCCUGCAAAAUUGGUCCUCGCUCACUAAUCCCAUCAUUAAACCUGAAAACCAGAUCCUAUUAUUUUAAUUCAUCUGGCAGUAGCUCGCCCCAGUUUAAUUGCACACCCGUACAAAUUGAUAGGCAGCUUCAGCCCGGACCCAGCAAACCCAAAGUCCACCCCGAAGUUGUGAGCAGAAACGCACGGAGCGAGUGGUGAACAGCCCGUUGGACACAGAAGUGUUAUACCUAUGAGUUUCCAGGCCUUAACCGAGUACUUUUGCAUGAUAUGAUAAGGGUUUAAGGUCUCCCUGGUAAAAGCUCUCUUUAUUUACUCCCUGGGAAGUCACACACGGGGUAUUAUUUUAGUGGUCUGUCAGCGCAAAGCUUCAGUCUGACUGGGGUUGUGCCAUCCCAGGCAUAUUUUAAUGAAUCACUCAAACAGAAGCCAUAGCAUCUUAAUGCAACGAUCCUUUUAAAAAAUCAAUCAGAAUUAAAUGUGAACCGCAAACCAGUAAGUGAGUGCAUUGUUAAGAGGUUUUGAUUAAAGCUUUUGAAAUUAAAAGGAUCAGACUGAGGAUCAGAGAAACACACCGCAAAAUCAUCAAAAGAAGAUGAGGAGCAGAUUUUGUAGCCCUUGCUCUUGAGGGAGAUAAAUCAGUUCUUUAUAUUUUAUGUAGGGAAACAGUUGCAAAACUUGGCCUUCAAUACAUUGAAAAUGUUCUUAACUGAUCUCGUGUCCUUGAAGCCAACGACUCCUUCGGUGUUUCCCCUGUGAGGAGUUGCUGUUUGCAACCAGGAGGUUUUUUCUCCUGGCACUUGGCUGGCUGUGCCAGGGCAACUUUUGGCACACCACGGGGAUAAGCAGCUUGGUGCUGCAGCUCAUCCACCCCUAAUCACUGAAAGUGGAGACAGCUUUCUAUAAAGCAAUGCCACCACCAAGUGAGAGGAUCACUUAUGUUGCCUGGCAGAUGAAGUGUAAUGCUUUUAUGCCAUAAAACUCCUUGUAUUCAAAUUUCUUGUUAUUUUACAGAAAACCUUGAACACCGAUCUGAAUUCAUGUUUCCAAUCACACUAGAAAUUAGUAAGAUUGUUAGCCCUAUAGGUACGUGGACACGGUCAGAUGCUCAUAUACCCAAAAUCCCCACUGAAAAUCCAUCCUGCUAUUUAUUUACCAAGCCUUCUGUCUGUAUGCUGUUUGUAUUUCAUUUAAAAUUUACUCCUUCUUUGGAUGUGCAGGGGUAAAAGCUAAGCACUGGAUAUAGUCCUUGGAGCUGAGAGCCUGUAUGUGCAGAAUCAGGGCUGAACGCAGAGCAAAGUAACUGCCCUCCAGGAGUUAUAAAGAGUCAGCGAUUUCAGCACGGUUUGUGUGGUAAAUAGAGCUCUAAAUCCAGAUGCUAGUUUACAGAUAGUCUUUCAGUUCAAUUAUAGUAAACUUCUCAUUCUUCGGCUACCCAAAAGCCACAGAAAUUAAUCCCCUUAGCACUAUGCCUCUGCUAAAAUGAAACCUGGUUAAACACGCGCUUGAAGAAGCCACCUGAUUUUUUUCUAUAUUUACCGGGCAUUUAAAAGUCACAUUUAUAAGUGACAGAGCAAAACAAAAACAAAACCAAAACAAAAAUAGGCUCUCUGCUGAGAAUUUAUGUGGCAAGCUUUGCCCCAGAGGGUGUUUUUAUAGCCUGGUUAUAAACCACUGCAAACAGAAGGGUAUAUAAUGGAAACACUGACAGAUCUUUACCUAGAAUAUUGCAAAUGAGCACACCAUAAAAAUGACUAAUUACAGAUAUUGUAAAACUCAGCUUAGCUCUCGGGCUCAGCCGUUGGGCUGGAAAGGGGGAGAUGCAGACAGUGAUAACAGAGGGCUCGGCCUCUGCUCCUGUUGGCUUUCCCUGUGUAAAAAUUGGGAGCUUUUAGUUUUGACCCGCUGUUAACAGCCAUGACCACAACAGGAAACACUUUAUAAUGCUGUGAGCUUGAGGGCAAGGAGAGUGCUUGCAUGUUACCUGGCCUGCAAAUAAAUCUGCCCUUGUUCACUGCUAGCAACAUGUCUCUGGCAUGUGUCCACCCAUGAAGUCCCAAGCAAGUCUCAGCCCAGCUGGUGCCAAGGACCUCAGGGUAGACCUCACCCUCUUCUUCAGAUGGGGCACGAGGUUGUGUUAGACCCUACAGCAAAACCCCACACUCCUUUAAGUGUCUUUGUCUGGCUUGUGAAGGAGCCAGGGAGUCCCUGAGAGGCUCUGAGGAGCAGCACAGGACAAGGUGAGGAGCUGGGAGCUGCCUGGAUGGAUCCUUACCACAUCAGCACCACACAUAGAAAUUAGGUGGUUAUCGCGCUGAUGCUGGCCCCUCCAAAAAAAAAGACCAAAAAUAAAUGGAGACUUGAUGGCACUGAGCACCCAACUGUUAGCAGGGGAAAAUUGAUUUGGGUCUGCACAUCUAGAAAAGUGUAGUUACUGUAAGCAAUGGUUUCUGCAUUCUCUUCCAUUCCUGCAUGGUCCUGAGAGCCAACAUCCCAUGGGAGCUGCUCCUAGCAGGUGCUGAGGAAAGGCCUUGCAUACUUUCCUUUCACCCAUGUUGGAGAACAAAAUGUUGGCUGGCAAUGUAUCAGGCAGCACAGACCAGGCCUGGGGAGGUUCUCAGAGAAAGACUUCCUCUAGCUUGCUCAUUUCUCCCCAUCCUCCUUCCCUCUGGUGGAGAAAAACCCCACUGGAAGUGAUGGUACCGCCAUCAGCCUCCAAACCCAGAGCCAGUGCCUGCAGGAACCCCAUCCCCAAGGCCACAGGGAGCUGAUCCGUCUUCAGAGGCUAUCAGCUGUACCCAGUAGGAAACCUAAUGGAGCAGGUCAACUCUACAAGCGAUGGCUGAGUUGUUCCUAGGCCGGAGGGGCCUGCGAUUACAGUAAAGGCCUAGCAACAAGAAGGGGACAGAGCCUGGCCGCGGACACCCCGAAGGCCUAAAGAUAAAGGGUUGGAUUACACAAAGCAGCCUCUCAUUAUCCACUCCUUGAUACUGGUUGGUAACUUUGUUUUUUAAGGAAUCCCUUAAUUAGGUUUUACAGUGCAUAGGUUAGGCAUUUUCCAGCAAGAGCUUUAUUGUAAUGGGUUGCACAUGUUCUCAUACUGUACACCAAAAUGAAAUUUAGCUACAGGGCAUUUCCUUCCGUUGCUCUUGCUGGGGAGCAGCUUUAACCUUUUUGCAGACACAAAGCCAUAUUUCACUCCUCAGAGGCCACAGCAGUUCCUCGCUCCCAAUCACUCGGGUCAUUUCAGCCCUUAACUGUGCAGCAAUCUCACAAAUGUGCUGUAGGGAGCAAUCCUGAGGGGGUAGGGGGCUGAGACGAAGAUGGAAAAGGCCCAGGAGGUUAAGACCCAGGAGGGCCUCGCUCCAACAGAGCCCACCAGUCUCCCAAGGAGAAGCCUGUGGUCCUUACUGGGCAGGGCAUAGCUGCAGCUGACUUUGGCUAAACCUCUGGGGGAAUCAUCUCCUGAGGAGCCUCCUCAGCAGUUCAUCACUGGCUCCUCUGUUCAGCCCCCCCAGGCUGUAUCGUGCAGCACAACGAUCAGAAAGAAUCUCCAGCUAUGUCUUCAGUCUGCAGAAUUUACCCCAGAUUUUGUGAUCUAGCCCUUGGAAACUUAUGACCGUCUUCCUAAACAAGAACAGAAGGUUAUCAGAAAAGAUUUGUAUGUGGCAGAUUCAGAUUCGAUGACAGGAGACAGCUCAGUACACAACACAUAGGGACUCCUUACCACAAGUUGUAAUAGCAAAAAUAAGUUUACAUGGAUUCAAAGGGCAAGUGGACAAAUUCUUAGAAAAAGAAAUCUUUUAAGGAGUCUUAAAUACUGCCUAUCAAGCUUGGUCUUCCUGCAGACCUGUUCAAUCACCUGGAUACUAUAAAUUCUCUAGUGGAACCUCUAAGAAGAGACCAACAGCCUGCACAGCUCAGUGCAUCUCUGCCCUGCUUGACAAACGCGGACAGCAAAGCCUAAUGAGACAGGACUCAGAAACUUUGACCUGUAGCAGGGGAUCCACUCAUCUGCCCAGCUGCUCGAGGAGCUGAACACAACCAGUGCACGCGUUGCCCUUAAAGCUACUGCUGAGGGACUAAAUCUCAGUCCCACAAAGUCAGGGAUGUGACAGCUCUGCACACACGAGCAGGCUGGCUGAAACAACAUUUGCCUAAGUGUUUCUAGGAGGAGGAAUUUGCAGAUGGGUUUUCCAUGGUACUGUUUGCACUUGGACCUUUGAAAAUCAGGCUGUUAAGAGUGCUCACACUGAAGAAGGGAAUUUAUGUUGUCUUCAUGCUUUGAGCCUGAAUUUGUCCUGAGGGAACAGUAGCAGAAAAAACAGCCAUUUAUUUUUAAUAGACACCAGUGUCGUUACUUAGGUCUGGUGAGCUUAAAGGAUUGAGAGGGGCAUGAUAUCAUCAAGGAAGUAAUUUCUUUACUUUUUUUUUCAUUAAUCUAAGGAGAAGAAAAAAAAAAAAAAACUCAUGCAGAAAUACAGUACAAGAACCUUGCUAAGAUUCCGAAAUGCUUCCUUUCAAGAUUACAAACAUCAUUUAUCUGUCUGCUGUCCCUUCCUUAUGGCACAAAAUCUCCUUCUGCUGUUGUCCCGGGGCCUGGCACCUUUUGCCCACCCUCUGCCCUCAACACACUCAUCAGGAAGCAAACCAGGUGUUAGCAGAGGCGUCUGCACACCCCCACAUUCCUCACUCUCACAGAAAGAUGGAGAAGCUCCUCGCAGCAGCAUAAGUCAGGAUUUAUCUGCAACGACAGCCCCCCGGCCCAGGCCAACAGCAGGGAGCGGGGCCCCCCACCCUAGGACACCUUGGGGUCACCACAGGCCAGCCAGAGCACCUCGACUUGGCUGUGACCUUGCAGGAGCCCUUGCAAAUCACAUCUGGAAUGUGUUUCAGCUUCAAGAGCAAUAAAUGAAAACACUGAACACAA